GAAUUGACGGGGCCCGGCACAAGCGGUGGAGCAUGUGGUUUAAUUCGAUGAUACGCGAGGAACCUUACCUGGGCUCAAAUGUAUGUUGACGUAUUCUGAAAGGGAUACUUCUUCGGACAAUAUACAAGGUGCUGCAUGGUUGUCGUCAGCUCGUGCCGUGAGGUGUCGGGUUAAGUCCCAUAACGAGCGCAACCCCUAUCAUUAGUUGCCAUCAGGUCAAGCUGGGGACUCUAAUGAAACUGCCUACGCAAGUAGUGAGGAAGGUGGGGAUGACGUCAAAUCAGCACGGCCCUUACGUCCAGGGCUACACACGUGCUACAAUGGCCGGUACAAAGGGCAGCUACCUGGUGACAGGAUGCUAAUCUCAAAAGCCGAUCUCAGUUCGGAUCGGAGUCUGCAACCCGACUCCGUGAAGCUGGAAUCGCUGGUAAUCGCGCAUCAGCCAUGGCGCGGUGAAUACGUUCCCGGGCCUU
rnacentral:rRNA from 1 species